UCGACACCCCAGCAGAUUGUGAUCCUUUAUUCAGCCACUGAAUGGUACAGUGCAGGCAACAGCAGGGCACGUUUACCUGCCACUCCCUUGGGAUUCAGCCCUGGGCUGGAAGGACCUCCCCAAAGGAGUGGGGAACCCAACUGGGAGGAAGGCUGGCCCAGUGGUCGGGGCACUCGCCUCAGGCUCAG
rnacentral:sRNA from 1 species